CAUAAAAAUGGCAAGAAGGUACAGAUACCCGAAUUGCUGCUUCUAUUCAACGUGGAGGCUGCGUCUCAACAAGGUUCUCCCCAGGAAAAGCUCUGGCAGAGAUGGCAGGGAAAUCUAAGGCUGUCUGGGCUCCACCUCUACCCUCAUUCCUGCUCCACCUCUGAGCUGUAUCCUCAGCCUGAAAGAAGCUUCCCAGGUUUCACCUUCCCAACAGAGCUGAAUGAAGAAAACUCAGUGGCCAGGAGCUUUGAACUCACCAGGGAGAAGG